rnacentral:tRNA from 1 species
UUAAAAUUAGUUAAAGUAUAACGCAGACUUGUCAAGCCUGAAUUAUCAAAUUAUGAUAUUUUAAA